rnacentral:rRNA from 1 species
UACGAAGGGGGCUAGCGUUGCUCGGAAUGACUGGGCGUAAAGGGCGCGUAGGCGGAGUGCUUUGUCAGGCGUGAAAUUCCAGGGCUUAACCUUGGGGCUGCGUUUGAGACGGGCAUUCUUGAGUAUGGAAGAGGGUCGUGGAAUUCCCAGUGUAGAGGUGAAAUUCGUAGAUAUUGGGAAGAACACCGGCGGCGAAGGCGGUUCUCUGGGCCUGUACUGACGCUGAGGAGCGAAAGCGUGGGGAGCGAACAGGAUAGAUACC